GAAAGAGAAGGAGCAGGAAGGAAGUAAUAAGCAUUUUCGGUGCACCUUUAAUAUUGUGAUAAAAACCAUCACCACCAAACUCAUUACCCAUCCAUUUCUCAGUUAAUUUUCGGAGCAUUUUCGAGGGGAAGAAGUUGAGAGAAGAAGAAGUCUGGAAGUUUUGGGCCGGAGAAGACAAGGAAAUUCAACAAGUCUCUGGUCUUUUGUUGAUUCCAAGAGCUGCACAAAAAGCUUAUUUGAGAAUGGUUUUAAGAUGAGAAAGAGUGAUAUUAUGCUCUUUAUUAAGAUUUGCAAGGCUACCAAACCCAAUUAAUCUGAAGAAGAAAAUUAUUGCAACCGUGAGAUUUGGAAGAAAAAGAAAAAUAGGGAAAGAAGAAGAGGAAGCACUAGAAGAGUUAAGGUAUGAAAAAUAAAGCAAAACUCCCCAAUUGUAUUGGCAAACCCCUCCAAGUGUCCUAAGCCUACUAGGCCAGGUUUCAAGGUUUAAUAUAUAACUCUUCAAUUCAGAAGUUUACGUGAAAUCAUUCUUUUUUUUUCGCCGGUUUUCUGUGCUCGUUCUCUUUCUUUUCUUUUUAUUUUCUUUCUUUCUUCUUUUUGGGAUUUUCUUUCCGAGUGGAUCAAUUAGCGUAAAGGUGGAGAUAGAUUCACGUUUAACAAAACCCCAAAACUCAUUUAAGAAUAAGAAGAAGACGAAGAAAAAGAAAGAAUAAACAAAGGAAAGAAACGAAAAGAAAGCUUCCUCGAAAAAACGGUGAUUUCACGCAAAAUUCUGAAUUGAAGAAUAUAUAUAAAACCUUGGAACGUGGCCUAAUAUGAUUAUGAAAUGUGGAGAGUCUGCAGGGAAGUUUUGCUCUUUUAUUUAAUAUAUUAAUUUUAUGUUGAAUAGCAACCUCAACUUAUUCGAUAGUUUAAAGAAUUUAUGAAUUUUAUUCAAUUAAAUGUUUUUAGAAGAUAAAAUUAAAUUUUUAUUACUUAAUUCUUAUAUGUUCAAGAUUUACCAUCAAAA